CACAGCCCCAUCCUAAGGCUCCAUGAGCAAGUGGAGAAUUUCCCUAAGUGUGGGACAGGCUACCUAAGAGAGAAGUCAGCAUGGGUUCCUGUGGAUGCACAGAGGCAGAACUAACUUAGCCUGGGAUGGUAACAGAAGGCUUUCUGGAAAAGGAGUUCUAAGAACCAUGGGGUGGAUAAUAAGAAUGAGCUUCAGCUGUAGCCUCAAGGGAUCGAGAGCGCCACUGAAAACCCCACACUGCCCAAAAGGCCUCUAAAUCAGGAUCCCGACUGCCCCACACAUGAAGAACAGAACUUUGACUCUCAGUAAGAUCCUGUGGCCACUUCCACUGUGAGCAGGGAACUAUCCUUCCCCUAAACAAGGAUGCGGACAGAAGUGGGGCUCCACCUCUGCAGACCCGGAAGUGAUGCCAGAGAUGCAUACGGAGAGUCCUAUCCACAAAACUACAAGUGUCUGCUCUGCACCUCUGUCUAAUUAUGAUCCAGUGUCUUCACACCCCCCAGGGACAAGAGACUUGUUUGUUCGAGCUGACAUAUCUAUUAUUACUCCUUAGGUAGUUAGGAGAAUCAUUUGCAGUGUUCAUUAAUCAGUAUCACCUUAUGGAUUACUAAACAGCAGCACUGCUUUAGCUAAUGAGCCCCAGUAGUGUAAUAUUUUACAUAUUUUAUAGCAAGACAAUUAAGCAAUGUCUUGCUUUUAUAGCAGACCUUAAAAUAAAUCAUCUGAGAUACAAAGAGGA
rnacentral:lncRNA from 10 species